rnacentral:lncRNA from 1 species
GUCCAGGGUUCUGGAAAUGAGUGCAGUGGGACUGGAUCUUCAAGAGAGAGUGAAUUUGGGCGGAUGGUGACCAGAGGGAAGAGUGUCAAGUCACUUGAGGAUCUACAGUGCAGGUCCUGUUCAAGGCUUUAGCGACAUCACACAGGACAGAACCUACAAGGGAAAAGAAACAGGGAGGAUCCAGGGAGACACUCCUCCUGGGAUAUUAUAGAAAGUGGGAGAAAAGCAAAUGGGGUUAGGACCAACGGAUGGUAAACGGAUAGAGGAGAUUAGACCAAGAUCCUUGGGUACAUGAGGGAGACAAUUUUUCUGUAUGUAUCAGAGUUAUCUUUAAAGUUAUGGCUCUCAAGAG